rnacentral:rRNA from 1 species
CGGCGAGGGGAGUGAAAAAGAACCUGAAACCGUGUACGUACAAGCAGUGGGAGCCCUUCGGGGUGACUGCGUACCUUUUGUAUAAUGGGUCAGCGACUUACAUUUUGUAGCGAGGUUAACCGUAUAGGGGAGCCGUAGGGAAACCGAGUCUUAACUGGGCGUCUAGUUGCAAGGUGUAGACCCGAAACCGGGUGAUCUAGCCAUGGGCAGGUUGAAGGUUGAGUAACAUCAACUGGAGGACCGAACCCACUAACGUUGCAAAGUUAGGGGAUGACCUGUGGCUGGGGGUGAAAGGCCAAUCAAACUCGGAGAUAGCUGGUUCUCCCCGAAAGCUAUUUAGGUAGCGCCUCGGACGAAUACUACUGGGGGUAGAGCACUGUUUGGGCUAGGGGGUCAUCCCGACUUACCAACCCCAUGCAAACUCCGAAUACCAGUAAGUAAUAUCCGGGAGACACACGGCGGGUGCUAACGUCCGUCGUGAAGAGGGAAACAACCCAGACCGCCAGCUAAGGUCCCAAAGUCUAUAUUAAGUGGGAAACGAAGUGGGAAGGCUUAGACAGCUAGGAUGUUGGCUUAGAAGCAGCCAUCAUUUAAAGAAAGCGUAAUAGCUCACUAGUCGAGUCGGCCUGCGCGGAAGAUGUAACGGGGCUCAAACCAGGCACCGAAGCCGCGGAUUUGCACUUAGUGCAAGUGGUAGGGGAGCGUUCUGUAAGUCUGCGAAGGUGUAUCGAGAGGUAUGCUGGAGAUAUCAGAAGUGCGAAUGCUGACGUAAGUAACGAUAAAGGGGGUGAAAAGCCUCCUCGCCGGAAGACCAAGGGUUCCUGUCCAACGUUAAUCGGGGCAGGGUGAGUCGACCCCUAAGGCGAGGCCGAAAGGCGUAGUCGAUGGGAAGCAGGUUAAUAUUCCUGCACGACUUGUAAUUGCGAUGGGGGGACGGAGAAGGCUAGGUGGGCCAGGCGACGGUUGUCCUGGUGAAAGUGCGUAGGUGGUGUUUCCAGGCAAAUCCGGAGACACAACACUGAGACACGAGACGAACACACUACGGUGUGGAAGCCAUUGAUGCCCUGCUUCCAGGAAAAGCCUCUAAGCUUCAGAUUACAAGUCAUCGUACCCCAAACCGACACAGGUGGUCGGGUAGAGAAUACCAAGGCGCUUGAGAGAACUCGGGUGAAGGAACUAGGCAAAAUAGAACCGUAACUUCGGGAGAAGGUUCGCUCCUGACAGUGAAGUCCCUUGCGGAUGGAGCAGUUGGGAGUCGCAGUGACCAGAUGGCUGGGACUGUUUAUCAAAAACACAGCACUCUGCAAACACGAAAGUGGACGUAUAGGGUGUGACACCUGCCCGGUGCCGGAAGGUUAAUUGAUGGGGUUAGCGCAAGCGAAGCUCUUGAUCGAAGCCCCGGUAAACGGCGGCCGUAACUAUAACGGUCCUAAGGUAGCGAAAUUCCUUGUCGGGUAAGUUCCGACCUGCACGAAUGGUGUAACCAUGGCCAUGCUGUCUCCACCCGAGACUCAGUGAAAUCGAAUUCGCCGUGAAGAUGCGGUGUACCCGCGGCUAGACGGAAAGACCCCGUGAACCUUUACUACAGCUUGGCACUGAACAUUGAACCUACAUGUGUAGGAUAGGUGGGAGGCUUUGAAGGCGUGACGCCAGUUGCGCUGGAGCCGUCCUUGAAAUACCACCCUUGUAUGUUUGAUGUUCUAACGCAGGGCCCUGAAUCGGGCUCGCGGACAGUGCCUGGUGGGUAGUUUGACUGGGGCGGUCUCCUCCCAAAGAGUAACGGAGGAGCACGAAGGUUUGCUAAUGACGGUCGGACAUCGUCAGGUUAGUGCAAUGGUAUAAGCAAGCUUAACUGCGAGACAGACAAGUCGAGCAGGUACGAAAGUAGGUCAUAGUGAUCCGGUGGUUCUGAAUGGAAGGGCCAUCGCUCAACGGAUAAAAGGUACUCCGGGGAUAACAGGCUGAUACCGCCCAAGAGUUCAUAUCGACGGCGGUGUUUGGCACCUCGAUGUCGGCUCAUCACAUCCUGGGGCUGAAGUCGGUCCCAAGGGUAUGGCUGUUCGCCAUUUAAAGUGGUACGCGAGCUGGGUUCAGAACGUCGUGAGACAGUUCGGUCCCUAUCUGCCGUGGGCGUUGGAUGAUUGAAGGGAGUUGCUCCUAGUACGAGAGGACCGGAGUGAACGAACCUCUGGUGUUCGGGUUGUCACGCCAGUGGCACUGCCCGGUAGCUAAGUUCGGAAUCGAUAACCGCUGAAAGCAUCUAAGCGGGAAGCGAGCCCUGAGAUGAGUCAUCCCUGACCCCUUGA